CGUUCUCGGGGCGGGGUGCAACUCCCCACCGGCGGUGAUGGAGUCUGCAGGCCAUGCUCGCGCUCCCAGCCCGCGAGCGCUCUGCAGUAGCAGAGGUCAGCAGAUCCGGUGUCAUUCCGGAGCCGACGGUAAUAGUCCGGAUAAGAGAGAGCG
rnacentral:ncRNA from 1 species